CCGCGGGGUGAGGGGGGGGGUGAGGCGGCCCCGCCGCGCGGCCCCGGCCGCCCUUUCGCUUCCCGGAGGGGCAGCGCGCGCUGCGCUGCCUGCGGUGCGGCUGUGCCCUCGGUCGCCUGUCCCCUCAGCUGCCAUACGAGCAAGUUAUCCAAACAGGAGAAGGCCAUAUAAUAUUAAGGCUGAUGGAUAUUUGAAGGUCAAGUGUUCGCCUGUACAGGGAAACUGAUUGUUAAAGGAAUCAUGAACAAUUAUACCUGUACCCUGGAGAUUACCACCUUUCUUAGCCAUUGUAUUCAAAUGUUUUCCCGGAGAGAUGGUGUCUUACUUUCCUGGGUGCGACGUCGGAGGAGUACUGGUUGGCCAGUUUGCUUUAUUGUUCCCAUGCCGCUGUCAUCAGAGCCGGGUAGGAAGUGAAUGUCCUCCCCUGUCAAACUCUUCAGGAAUUCAGGCUUCUUACCCUGCAGAGGAAGGUUGCAGAACUUUUCUAAUGAAAAAAGAAACCAUAUUUCUACAAUAGUAAUGAAAGCACUCAUCUGUUUGUGCCCAUUGCCUCUGGUCCUGUCACUGGGCACCAAUGAGAAGAGCCUGGCUCCAUCCUCUCUACUCCCUCCCCAUCAGUUGCUGAGGGGUUUUAGCCUACUGUUUUUGAAUUUGCUGCUACAACAGCCCUCUCGUAGACUUCACAACCUGCUCAGGAAGCCAUGGUUUGUCCAACAGUUAGCACCAAAAAAGUGGACAUCCCGUCUCUUCAUUGCCAUCCAUCUUGCCAGAUCAUUUGUGAAGAUGUUGUCAUAUGAUCCAUACGAUUCAUAUGAUCUCAGCCCUGGAAUAGAUCCCUGUGGGACUUCACUGGUAAUCAUCCAUGUCCAAGAAUACUGCCUGCCUAUUCCUAACUUGGUUUGUCUGUCUUUUAAUGGUGAUUUGCUCAUGCAAAGCCCUUCCUCCUCAGGAAGUUUAUGAGGAGACUAGCUUGCAGGCUUACCCAGGGAGAGCGAGGAUUGUUAGCCUGAGCCAAAAUGCACCUUGUCUGGUCUCCACAGGAGAAACAAAUAGAGGUCAGCUACAAGGGAUAUUACUCAUGCCUUCCACAGGUCACACUUUCUGUAGCAGAACAUCACCAUGGGAUGAAAUAGCAGAGUGUACUAAGCCCGACACUUCAAAAGGUUUGGUGUUUAACUGUUUGAACAGAAAGGGCUAGCAAUGAGAUAUUUGCGCCUGCUUGCUGGGGCUCUUUUGGCCCCAUUCUUGAAACCUUGUCGUAAUCUAAGGACACCUGGCAGAAGAUUUGAAUGCACAUUAAACUCUUGCAGGAUGGUUCCUGAGUAUGCGUUUGACCAGCAAAGUGCCAGAUGCCUGGGAAAUUGCUGGGACAUUCAUGUUCCCAGUGCCGGCAGUGCUGCACAGCACACCGCUUUUGCAAUGAGAAGGGGAAAAUUCCAUCAGGAGAGGCUGAAGAUGGUGCUGGCUUAUGGGUCUGCUGUGGGGAGCCUGGAGGCGUUUCCAGAAGGGCAGAGCAAACAGGCGGUGACACCUGCACCCAUGCCCUUGCUGGUGUGCCCGCAAUGAUGUAAGGCAACAUUAACCCACAGUCCAAGAAGCACUUAUCACCAAGGCUCCUGUGUUUCUUUCUCCAUGGCUGCUUGGGGCCGAGUGAAGAGCAUGCAUCUGCCCAGGACCACUGCCAUCCCAGGAGCCUGUGUGCUGGUGCACGCCCCCCUCGAGACCUUCCAGUGGCAGUAUGGAGAAGAGCAAGCUUUCACUGUGCUUCCCUUCAUAACUAAAAUUGGAGAGGUUAAGUCCUUUAAUUUGCUCCUGAUGUGUCUAAUUUUCUUUGCACAGGCUGACGCACACCAUAGUGCCUUUGUACCCUCUUGAGAAUGUGGAGAAGCUGCCUCAUACAAAUACCUCUUAUGAAUAAACGUAAUAGUUCACCUUCAGUGAAUAGUGAAUAGUUCAGAGGUCUUUGAACUGGUAAUUCCAUUAUCUGGUGUUGGUAAUGAAUCAUACUUGCUUAUAAAAUCCUGUUUGCCUGUAUGACAUUUUUAAGUUCCAGCCAACAUCAUAUUCUGAUGUAAGAAAUUUACUAAUGGGCACUAAUAACAGAAAUAAAAUCAUUGCUAAGAGAA